CAGGCAUAGGCAAACUCAACCCUCCAGAUGUUUUUGGCCUACAACUCCCAUGAUCCCUAGCUAACAGGACCAGUGAUCAGGGAUGAUGCGAAUUGUAGUCCCAAAACAUCUGGAGGGCUGAGUUUGCCUAUGCCUG